GACGAACGCUGGCGGCGUGCUUAACACAUGCAAGUCGAACGGAAAGGCCCUGCUUUUGUGGGGUGCUCGAGUGGCGAACGGGUGAGUAACACGUGAGUAACCUGCCCUUGACUUUGGGAUAACUUCAGGAAACUGGGGCUAUACCGGAAAAGAGCCUCCGCUGCCAGGGGGGGGGUGGGAAGUUUCGGCGGUUGGGGAUGGACUCGCGGCUUAUCAGCUUGUUGGUGGGGGAGUGGCUUACCAAGGCUUUGACGGGUAGCCGGCCUGAGAGGGUGACCGGCCACAUUGGGACUGAGAUACGGCCCAGACUCCUACGGGAGGCAGCAGUGGGGAAUAUUGCACAAUGGGCGGAAGCCUGAUGCAGCAACGCCGCGUGCGGGAUGACGGCCUUCGGGUUGUAAACCGCUUUCGCCUGUGACGAAGCGUGAGUGACGGUAAUGGGUAAAGAAGCACCGGCUAACUACGUG
rnacentral:rRNA from 1 species